rnacentral:lncRNA from 1 species
CGCCGGCCCGGUCCUCCGCGGCAGGGCGUGGGCGCACGCGGGCCCGCACACUCUCGUUGGCGUCCGGGACAAAGGUCUCCAGUGGCGCCAGCCGUGGACGCGUGACUCGAUCCUUCGGGCCACUCUUGCGUGGUGGGUCGUUGGAUGUAAGACUGCAGAAGCCCGGAGAGCGGUGGGUCCCGGGUUUGGGGCCUCGCCGUAAGCUGGCCAGAGGCCGUCCCACCCUGCGAAGAGUUGCGGGAGCGGCUCCGCACUGCCCUCGGCUGUUUCUGCGCGCCCAGGAGCCCAACGCAAGUCACCCCGGACUCCAGCCAGCGGCCGCGGGCAUGCCAGCGCAGCGCUAGCGGCGGCCAAGACGUGGUCUGGCAGGGCGGUGGACGUGUGCGCCGCGGGCAUGAUCAAGGUUGGAGAGGGUAGGAUGGGAUCUUCCUGGAAAAUGACUGCAGGGGACUGGUGCAGAUGUGAACUUUGUACCCCGAUGGUGGUCCAGAGGAGCCGUGGGAGCUACCAUUCAUCCUUGCGGUAGAUGCAGGUAGGAAUUUGGUAAGAGAGUUUUGUCAUCCUGAUGAGCGAGCGAAGU